GGUCAUGAGUUCCAGUGCGCAGCCCCGGCUUGCUGGACGGCACCCCGCUCCGCUGCGGGUGCUCCGGGUGACGACCUGCCCCGUGCGCGAGGUACGGGGAACAGCGGACC
rnacentral:ncRNA from 2 species